rnacentral:tmRNA from 1 species
GGGGCUGAUCGGUUUCGACAGCGCCUGCGAACCCGCGAGAAGCGGGCCGAGGAUGUGGGGUUAUCUCGUAAACGCUCCCUGCAAAACUAUAAGUGCCGAAACCAAGCGCACUGACUUCGCCCUCGCUGCGUAAGCGAGCCCGAUAGUCCGUCAGACCGUGUGUGACCCCGCCACGGAUUCUGGCGUCAUUUAGGGGUCUUGCUGUGUGACGGCGUCCGGACGUCACGCGGGACUUUUCCCGGACUGGGCCUGUCGACUUAGGUGUCUGUGACAAAGGUCGGGGCCGAGCAGAACGUCUGCACAGACUGCGCCCGGAGAAAACGCGGAGACCCAGCGUUGGACGGGGGUUCGAUUCCCCCCAGCUCCAC